UGAACCAUGCAGCAAGAGGUCAUCUUC
rnacentral:piRNA from 1 species